rnacentral:rRNA from 1 species
GCAAGUCGAGCGGUAGAGAGAAGCUUGCUUCUCUUGAGAGCGGCGGACGGGUGAGUAAUGCCUAGGAAUCUGCCUGGUAGUGGGGGAUAACGUUCGGAAACGGACGCUAAUACCGCAUACGUCCUACGGGAGAAAGCAGGGGACCUUCGGGCCUUGCGCUAUCAGAUGAGCCUAGGUCGGAUUAGCUAGUUGGUGAGGUAAUGGCUCACCAAGGCGACGGUCCGUAACUGGUCUGAGAGGAUGAUCAGUCACACUGGAACUGAGACACGGUCCAGACUCCUACGGGAGGCAGCAGUGGGGAAUAUUGGACAAUGGGCGAAAGCCUGAUCCAGCCAUGCCGCGUGUGUGAAGAAGGUCUUCGGAUUGUAAAGCACUUUAAGUUGGGAGGAAGGGCAGUUGCCUAAUACGUAACUGUUUUGACGUUACCGACAGAAUAAGCACCGGCUAACUCUGUGCCAGCAGCCGCGGUAAUACAGAGGGUGCAAGCGUUAAUCGGAAUUACUGGGCGUAAAGCGCGCGUAGGUGGUUUGUUAAGUUGGAUGUGAAAUCCCCGGGCUCAACCUGGGAACUGCAUUCAAAACUGACUGACUAGAGUAUGGUAGAGGGUGGUGGAAUUUCCUGUGUAGCGGUGAAAUGCGUAGAUAUAGGAAGGAACACCAGUGGCGAAGGCGACCACCUGGACUAAUACUGACACUGAGGUGCGAAAGCGUGGGGAGCAAACAGGAUUAGAUACCCUGGUAGUCCACGCCGUAAACGAUGUCAACUAGCCGUUGGAAGCCUUGAGCUUUUAGUGGCGCAGCUAACGCAUUAAG